rnacentral:misc_RNA from 1 species
GAUGAAGAACGUAGCGAAAUGCGAUAAGUAAUGUGAAUUGCAGAAUUCAGUGAAUCAUCGAAUCUUUGAACGCACAUUGCGCCCCUUGGUAUUCCGGCGGGCAUGCCUGUUCGAGCGUCAUUUCAACCCUCAAGCCCCCGGGUUUGGUGUUGGGGAUCGGCUCUGCCUUACGGCGGUGCCGCCCCCGAAAUACAUUGGCGGUCUCGCUGCAGCCUCCAUUGCGUAGUAGCUAACACCUCGCAACUGGAACGCGGCGCGGCCAUGCCGUAAAACCCCAACUUCUGAAUGUUGACCUCGGAUCAGGUAGGAAUACCCGCUGAACUUAAGCAUAUCAAUAAGCGGAGGA